UCCUACGGGAGGCAGCAGUAGGGAAUCUUCCGCAAUGGACGAAAGUCUGACGGAGCAACGCCGCGUGAGUGAUGAAGGCUUUCGGAUCGUAAAACUCUGUUGUUAGGGAAGAACAAGUUGGGUAGUAACUGACCCAACCUUGACGGUACCUAACCAGAAAGCCACGGCUAACUACGUGCCAGCAGCCGCGGUAAUACGUAGGUGGCAAGCGUUAUCCGGAAUUAUUGGGCGUAAAGCGCGCGCAGGUGGUUUAAUAAGUCUGAUGUAAAAGGCAGUGGCUCAACCAUUGUGUGCAUUGGAAACUGUUAGACUUGAGUGCAGUAGAGGAGAGUGGAAUUCCAUGUGUAGCGGUGAAAUGCGUAGAUAUAUGAAGGAACACCGGUGGCGAAAGCGGCUCUCUGGACUGUAACUGACACUGAGGCUCGAAAGCGUGGGUAGCAAACAGGAUUAGAUACCCUGGUAGUCCACGCCGUAAACGAUGAGUGCUAGUUGUUUGGGGCUAUCCAGCCCUAAGUGACGCAGCAAACGCAUUAAGCACUCCGCCUGGGGAGUACGGCCGCAAGGCUGAAACUCAAAGGAA
rnacentral:rRNA from 1 species